AAUAUUGCACAAUGGGCGCAAGCCUGAUGCAGCCAUGCCGCGUGUAUGAAGAAGGCCUUCGGGUUGUAAAGUACUUUCAGCAGUGAGGAAGGUGGAUAUGUUAAUAGCAUAUUCAUUUGACGUUAGCUGCAGAAGAAGCACCGGCUAACUCCGUGCCAGCAGCCGCGGUAAUACGGAGGGUGCGAGCGUUAAUCGGAAUUACUGGGCGUAAAGCGCAUGCAGGUGGUUUGUUAAGUCAGAUGUGAAAGCCCGGGGCUCAACCUCGGAAUUGCAUUUGAAACUGGCAAACUAGAGUACUGUAGAGGGGGUAGAAUUUCAGGUGUAGCGGUGAAAUGCGUAGAGAUCUGAAGGAAUACCGGUGGCGAAGGCGGCCCCCUGGACAGAUACUGACACUCAGAUGCGAAAGCGUGGGGAGCAAACAGGAUUAGAUACCCUGAUAG
rnacentral:rRNA from 1 species